UACGUAGGGUGCAAGCGUUAAUCGGAAUUACUGGGCGUAAAGCGUGCGCAGGCGGCUUUGCAAGACAGAUGUGAAAUCCCCGGGCUCAACCUGGGAACUGCAUUUGUGACUGCAAGGCUGGAGUACGGCAGAGGGGGGUGGAAUUCCACGUGUAGCAGUGAAAUGCGUAGAGAUGUGGAGGAACACCGAUGGCGAAGGCAGCCCCCUGGGUUAACACUGACGCUCAGGCACGAAAGCGUGGGGAGCAAACAGG
rnacentral:rRNA from 1 species